GAUGAACGCUAGCGGCAGGCCUAACACAUGCAAGUCGAGGGGUAGAAUUAGCUUGCUAAUUUGAGACCGGCGCACGGGUGCGUAACGCGUAUGCAAUCUACCUUGUACAGGGGGAUAGCCCAGAGAAAUUUGGAUUAAUACUCCAUGGUAUAAUUGAAUCGCAUGGUUUGAUUAUUAAAGUUCCAACGGUACAAGAUGAGCAUGCGUCCCAUUAGCUAGUUGGUGUGGUAACGGCAUACCAAGGCGACGAUGGGUAGGGGUCCUGAGAGGGAGAUCCCCCACACUGGUACUGAGACACGGACCAGACUCCUACGGGAGGCAGCAGUGAGGAAUAUUGGUCAAUGGUCGGAAGACUGAACCAGCCAUGCCGCGUGCAGGAAGACGGUCCUAUGGAUUGUAAACUGCUUUUGUACGGGAAGAAACACUCCUUCGUGAAGGAGCUUGACGGUACCGUAAGAAUAAGGAUCGGCUAACUCCGUGCCAGCAGCCGCGGUAAUCACG
rnacentral:rRNA from 1 species